rnacentral:rRNA from 1 species
GAUGAACGCUGGCGGCGUGCCUAAUACAUGCCAGUCGAGCGAACAGACGAGGAGCUUGCUCCUCUGACGUUAGCGGCGGACGGGUGAGUAACACGUGGAUAACCUACCUAUAAGACUGGGAUAACUUCGGGAAACCGGAGCUAAUACCGGAUAAUAUAUUGAACCGCAUGGUUCAAUAGUGAAAGACGGUUUUGCUGUCACUUAUAGAUGGAUCCGCGCCGCAUUAGCUAGUUGGUAAGGUAACUGCUUUCGAAGGCAACGAUGCGUAGCCGACCUGAGAGGGAGGAUGGGCACACGGGAAGUGAGACAGGGUCCAGACUCCGACGGGAGGACGCAGUAGGGAAUCCUCCGCAAUGGGGGAAAGCUUGACGGAGCAACGCCGAGGGAGUGAUGAAGGUCUUCGGACCGGAAAACUAUGAUAUUAGGGAAGAACAAAUGUGUAAGUAACUAUGCACGUCUUGACGGUACCUAAUCAGAAAGCCACGGCUAACUACGUG